CGGGUGCUGGACCUGCCGGCACCACAGACGUGGCUGCUGUGCUGCACUUGUGACUGACGCUAGGGCACAGGAAGGGGCUAUUUCUACGCUCAGCACUCCGAGCAGUGGGCACUGGGAAUGAUUUGUAGCCUGACAUGC